AUUAACUGAUAAGGUACUGAAGCAAGCAAUUUACGAAGUUACCAGGAUUUCGCUCAAGAGAUAACACCAUAAAGCUUUGAGUUUGUGUCCGGGAGAGCCCCCAUACCUAACGCCUUAUGAUAGAUUUAGAGCCCCUGCACCUGGAACUGUUUGUUUCCUUGUAACCAUUUGUCUUUUUAAUUUUUUUGCAUGCUUUUACUUCUGUAGAAUUGCUGCAACUAAGCUCCCCCUCCCCUUUCUAAACCAAAGUAUAAAGGAAAAUCAAGCCCCUUCCUCGGGGCCGAGAGAAUUUCGAGCGUUAGUCGUCUGUCGGUCGCCGGCUAAUGAAGGACUCUUAAAUUCGUCUCGAAGUGUGGCGUUUCUCUAACUCGCUCGGGUACAACAUUUGGAAGCCCCAGCGAGAUAUAUUCGCCACUGGGCGAGAGCCGGGCUAGCUCCGGGCUCCCCCGGAGGGACGGCCGGCUUAUAGGCGAGGAGCCACCUGAAAAAAAAUUUUCCAGGUCCCCGAAAGGCGACCGUCUUCCGGAGGACAGCGGAUCGACUACCGUGUGUGUGUGCCCACAAAAUUCAACCUCUGAGUCCUCAGCUUCUGACCCCGGGGUCAGGAGUUAUUAACAACUUUAUUGAAGUACAGUUGAUAUAUGCAAAACCCCU
rnacentral:lncRNA from 10 species